rnacentral:rRNA from 1 species
AAAUUGAAGAGUUUGAUCAUGGCUCAGAUUGAACGCUGGCGGCAGGCCUAACACAUGCAAGUCGAACGGUAACAGGAAACAGCUUGCUGUUUCGCUGACGAGUGGCGGACGGGUGAGUAAUGUCUGGGAAACUGCCUGAUGGAGGGGGAUAACUACUGGAAACGGUAGCUAAUACCGCAUAACGUCGCAAGACCAAAGAGGGGGACCCUCGGGCCUCUUGCCAUCGGAUGUGCCCAGAUGGGAUUAGCUUGUUGGUGGGGUAACGGCUCACCAAGGCGACGAUCCCUAGCUGGUCUG